GAACAGUGCCAAUCAGUCACUAUAUGGCACUGCUCACAUGUUACAUGCUGUUUCUGUAACAGGAUUUACCCUCUACUUUUAUAUUUAAUAGUGACUGUUAUUGUUUCAGUGUACAAAGUGUGGAAUGGAUGCAAACACUAAUCGUCUGGAGUCAGGUGCUACCUCUGGAGAUGUUACCCAGUGCACCCAACAUUCACAACACAAAUCUGCUUCCCACAUCGAGGUGACAGAAAGUGGAAUAGAGGUGGACAGUAAUCGUUUGGAGUCAGAUGGUGCCUCUAGAGAUGAUCAUCAUUGCACCCAACAUUCACAGCAUGAGUCUUCAUUCUGUAAUCUGGUAUGGAACUGCCUUUUUAAUAUAUUUUAUAACAUAGUAAACGUUAAGUCCCCACAAUGUACAUUGUACUAUACCAGUGUUUUCAAAGACACUGCUUCCCCACACUGUCUUUUAACAUGAAACUUUACACAAUACAGUUAUGUGUGUUUAUCUUUGUUUAGCAAAACCCUUGUUUUCUACACAUUCAAUUUUAUUUACUUAAUUACUUAAUAAAUUAGUUAAUUGUACUUUUAGGAUUAAUUGUGAUUUGGGGUGGUUUCAGGUGAUAAGUACAAUAGGUGAAAAAAGUCAUCAUCUGGAAUCUGAUCUUACCGCUGGAGAUGAUCAGCAGAAAAUGUCUGCAGUCUUAGUUCAGGAAGAACAUUUUGCUUUUAUAGCUUUAUGCAGUAUGUGCCAAAAGUAGCCUUGCUGGCUUAAUAAGAAAAGUUCAAAUGUAACCAAAAGGCAAAUAAUUU
ensembl:lncRNA